UCCCUGGUGGCUCAGAUGGUAAAGCAUCUGCCCACAGUGCAGGAGACCCGGGGUUCAAUCCCUGGUUUGGGAA
rnacentral:tRNA from 1 species